rnacentral:rRNA from 1 species
UACGGAGGGGGCUAGCGUUGUUCGGAAUUACUGGGCGUAAAGCGCACGUAGGCGGCUUUGCAAGUUAGAGGUGAAAGCCCGGAGCUUAACUCCGGAAUUGCCUUUAAAACUGCAUCGCUAGAAUUGUGGAGAGGUGAGUGGAAUUCCGAGUGUAGAGGUGGAAUUCGUAGAUAUUCGGAAGAACACCAGUGGCGAAGGCGACUCACUGGACACAUAUUGACGCUGAGGUGCGAAAGCGUGGGGAGCAAACAGG